GAGGCAGUAUCAGCAGAUGGGUUGGAUGGCCUCCUUCCGAGGUGUAAAAUUCUGCACUCAAGCCUAGCUGAUCCUUAAAAGUAGUUUAAAGUUCUUCACAAACGGAAAACGCCCCAGCGACAGGAGGCAAUGAUAACAGUCUGUCGGAAGAAGAUGAGCAACAUUUCAAGAGGAAAAAGAAGAGCUUGGAAGAAAAUAUAAAUCUUUUUUAGAAAGAUGAAGACUCACAUUUAGUCAACACUUUCCACAGCAACAGCACAUGCUGAAGAGAUCCACAGCCAAUGAAGUCCUUUUGAAUGCAUUAAGGUUUGGAAGUGACCUUCAUCGCAAGUUUAUGCGGGAAAUGAGAUUUGGAUCAAUGUGAACCAACGUUUACAAAUUAACGCAAAAAGGAGAUUUGUCCAUCACCGAGCCAAAAUUGAAACAUACAGCAUCAGAGGAGAUUGAUGAGGGCUGAGCAGCAGCAAGAAAAAUACCAUCAGGCAAACUUAACUUGCAAGAUCUUUCUCUUUUCUUGUAGAAUCUUAAAAUGAUACAGGAGACCAUUGGGCCCAUCCCCUGUACCUGCUCUUUGAAAGAUAUAUCCAGUGAUGUCCUUAUUUCAUGUACUUUCACCAUUCUUCUGGAAAUUAUGGAAUCAUAGAAGUCAUAGGCAUGUACAGCAUUGAAACAGACUCUUCAAUCCAACUCAUCCAUGCUGACCAGAUAUCCUAAAUUAAUCUAGUCCCAUUUGCCAGCAUUUGGCCCAUAUCCCUCUAAACAUUUCCUAUUCUUGUACCCAUCCAGAUGCUUGAUAAAUGUUGUAAUUGUACCUGCCUACACCACUUUCUCUGGCAGCUCAUUCCAUACAUGCAGCACCCGCUGUGUGAAAAAGUUGCCCCUCUCAUCUUAAACCCUAUGCCCUCUAGUUUUGGGCUCCCCUACCCUUGGAAAAAGACCGUAACUAUUUACCCUAUCCAUGCCCCUCAUGAUUUUAUAAACCUCUAUAAGGUCACCCCUCAGCCUCCAAUACUCCAGGGAAAAUAGCCCCAGUCUAUUCACCCUCUCCCUAUAGCCCAAACCCUCCAACUCUGGGAACAGCCUUGUAAAUAUUUUCUGAAUCCUUUUGAGUUUCACAACAUCCUUCCUAUUGCAUAGAGACCAGAAUUGAAUACAGUAUUCCACAAGUGGCCUAACUACUAGAAGUACUUAUUCACUUGCCCUUUGAAAGAUGUUAUUAAAUCUGGUGCCACCAUCUUCUUAGGUUGCAUCCUUGCUCAUAAUUAUACAUGGUAAAAUCUCCAGGUUACCUUCUAAAUCACACACCUUCCUGACUUGGAAGGAUAUCACUAUUCCUCAUUCCUGUUGGAUCAAAUUUCCUAACAGCAUCAUUGGUCUACCGCCCCUCCCCCAUGGACUGCAGUGGUUCAAGAAGGUAGCUCAUCACCAUCUUCUCAGGGGGAACUAGGAUCAAGUAAUGAAUGUUGGCCUGGCCACUGAUGCCCAUAUUCCUUAAAGGAACACAAAUAGAACCCCUCUUUCUUUGACGCCUCUAGUUCUCUUGCCAAUCACUCAUGCGUGCUCUGGUUUCUGCCCUUUCUGCCGCUCAAAAUAAGUCCUCUUUAUUUACUCCUAUCAUGACUGAUCAAUAAUCUUAAACACCUCUAUCAAAUUCCCCUUAGCUUCCUGCGCUUUCCUACCAUUCACUCUAUGAGAUGUCCACUCCCUCCUUAUCAACAGCUUCCAUGAUAUAAUGCCUUUUGCACUCAAUGUGUCAAGAGGUAAUUUGAAGAUGGAUGAGAGGGAAGAAGAGAAAAAAAUGAAUAAAAGGAAUAAAGGAACAGAUGUUUCCAAUUAAAAAUGCAAAUGAAUGAGGCACUUCAAGUGUGAAUUAUCUUGGCAAAAUUGAUGUAUCAGGGAAAGAUGUAACUUGCAUUGGAAAAGCUUACAGAGCUUUCAACUUUUCUGAUGAUUCGUUCUCUUGACAAAUUAAGAAAAAAAGUCAAUAAAUGACACAGUGUAA